GCCAGUGUGUGUGGUGGUUAUGACCCUCGGCUUGUAACCGAGUGGUUUCGGGUUCAAAUCCCGAAUGAGAAAUG